rnacentral:misc_RNA from 1 species
GGUUUUUUUUUUUUUUUUUUAAAUCAGUUUUCUGUUAUCGAUGCAACUCAACUAGUCUAAUUUGAGUCGGCUAUAUGAAUUAUUUUUCCUCGUUAAUAAGGGUACUAUUAAUUUUUGUGAGUUCUUGCUACCACAUUUUCUAGGCCAAUUAUUUCUCGACUAUUCUUAUCUAAGACUAUACAGAAAAAUAGCAAAAUUCACUUCAGUUUGAUGAUUUGAUCACAACAGCUUUUGUAUUUCAUCUUCUCUACAUAAAUUCUUUAUAUUCAUUAAAAGGAAAAAAUAUUUAUAUAUAUUGGAUGAUUAUGUAUAGGAGUUCCAUGGACAGAAGAGGAG